rnacentral:rRNA from 1 species
CCUACGGGAGGCAGCAGUGAGGAAUAUUGGUCAAUGGUCGGGAGACUGAACCAGCCAAGCCGCGUGAGGGAUGAAGGUACAGAGUAUCGUAAACCUCUUCUGUCAGGGAACAAAGGCGGGGACGUGUCCCCGGAUGAGUGUAUCUGAAGAAAAAGCAUCGGCUAACACCGUGCAAGAAGCCGCGGUAAUACGGAGGGUGCGAGCGUUAUCGGAUUUUAUUGGGUUAAAGGGGUGCGCGGGGGGUCUGUUAAGUCAGCGGGAAAAGCCCGGGGCGCAACCCGGGACCGCCGUUGAAACUGGCAGUCUCGAGUUGGAGAGAAGUAUGCGGAAUGCGCGGUGUAGCGGUGAAAUGCAUAGAU